UGGGGAAUAUUGCGCAAUGGACGAAAGUCUGACGCAGCGACGCCGCGUGUGGGAGGAAGCUCUUCGGGGUGUAAACCACUGUCAGGAGGGAAGAACGGCGCCGGUUCGAACAGUUCCGGCGAUUGACGGUACCUCCAAAGGAAGCGCCGGCUAACUCCGUGCCAGCAGCCGCGGUAAGACGGAGGGCGCAAGCGUUGUUCGGAAUUACUGGGCGUAAAGCGUGCGCAGGCGGUUGUGUAAGUCGGAUGUGAAAACUCAGGGCUCAACCCUGAGACGCCAUCCGAUACUGCGCUGACUUGAAUCCAGUAGGGGAGUGUGGAAUUCCUGGUGUAGCGGUGAAAUGCGCAGAUAUCAGGAGGAACACCCAUGGCGAAGGCAGCACUCUGGGCUGGUAUUGACGCUGAGGAGCGAAAGCAUGGGUAGCGAACAGGAUUAGAUACCCUGGUAGUCCCUGAGCGGGCUGGCAAGGCGCAU
rnacentral:rRNA from 1 species